rnacentral:rRNA from 1 species
AUUGAACGCUGGCGGCAGGCCUAACACAUGCAAGUCGAACGAGUGGCGGACGGGUGAGUAAUGUCUGGGAAACUGCCUGAUGGAGGGGGAUAACUACGGGAAACGGUAGCUAAUACCGCAUACCAUGAGAUGUGCCCAUAUGGGAUUAGCUAGUUGGUGGGGUAACGGCUCACCAAGGCGACGAUCCCUACCUGGUCUGCGAGGAUGACCAGCCACACUGGAACUGAGACACGGCCCAGACUCCUACGGGAGGCAGCAGUGGGGAAUAUUGCACAAUGGGCGCAAGCCUGAUCCAGCCAUGCCGCGUGUAUGAAGAAGGCCUUCGGAUUGUAAAGUACUUUCAGCUGGGAGGCGUUACCCGCAGAAAAAGCACCGGCUAACUCCGUGACAGCAGCCGCGGUAAUUC